rnacentral:tRNA from 1 species
CAAAUUGAAGCUUUUUUAGUUAAGCAUUUCAUUUACACUGAAAAGAAUAUCGUGCAACCCGAUUUAAUUUGA